GAUGAACGCUGGCGGCGUGCUUAACACAUGCAAGUCGAACGGGAUCCAUCGGGCUUUGCUUGGUGGUGAGAGUGGCGAACGGGUGAGUAAUGCGUGACCGACCUGCCCCAUGCUCCGGAAUAGCUCCUGGAAACGGGUGGUAAUGCCGGAUGUUCCACAUGAUCGCAUGUGAUUGUGGGAAAGAUUCUAUCGGCGUGGGAUGGGGUCGCGUCCUAUCAGCUUGUUGGUGAGGUAACGGCUCACCAAGGCUUCGACGGGUAGCCGGCCUGAGAGGGCGACCGGCCACAUUGGGACUGAGAUACGGCCCAGACUCCUACGGGAGGCAGCAGUGGGGAAUAUUGCACAAUGGGCGCAAGCCUGAUGCAGCGACGCCGCGUGCGGGAUGACGGCCUUCGGGUUGUAAACCGCUUUUGAUCGGGAGCAAGCCUUCGGGUGAGUGU
rnacentral:rRNA from 1 species